rnacentral:rRNA from 1 species
UACAGAGGUCCCAAGCGUUGUUCGGAUUCACUGGGCGUAAAGGGUGCGUAGGCGGUCGGGUAAGUCUGACGUGAAAUCUUCAAGCUUAACUUGGAAACUGCGUCGGAUACUAUUCGGCUGGAGGAAUGGAGGGGAGACUGGAAUACUUGGUGUAGCAGUGAAAUGCGUAGAUAUCAAGUGGAACACCAGUGGCGAAGGCGAGUCUCUGGACAUUUCCUGACGCUGAGGCACGAAAGCCGGGGGAGCAAACAGG